rnacentral:rRNA from 1 species
GACGAACGCUGGCGGCGUGCUUAACACAUGCAAGUCGAACGAAGUGGCGAACGGGUGAGUAACGCGUAAUCAACCUGCCCUUCAGAGGGGGACAACAGUUGGAAACGAAUGCUAAUACCGCAUACUGAAGGAGGGGAUUGCGUCUGAUGAGCUAGUGGGAGGGGUAACGGCCCAACAAGGCGAUGAUCAGUAGCCGGUCGCAGAGGAUGAGCGGCGACAGUGAGACUUAGAGAAGCCCCAGACUCGGACGGGAGGCAGCAGUGGAGAAUCUUCCGCAAUGGACGAAGGGCUGACGUAGAAACGCCGCGUGUGUGAUGACGGCCUUCGGGUUGUAAAGCUCUGUUACACGGGACACGGUUCCGGAAUGGAAAGCCACGGCUUACUACGUGCCGGCAGCCGCGGUAGUUC